rnacentral:rRNA from 1 species
AGAGAUGUGUGAUGACGCAUAUCAAUAAGCGGAGGAAAAGAAACUAACAAGGAUUCCCUUAGUAACGGCGAGUGAAGCGGGAAGAGCUCAAAUUUGAAAUCUUCAAGGUUCUACCUUGACGAAUUGUAGUUUAUAGAAGUGUUUUCUGUUAGUGGAGUGGCAAAAGUUCUUUGGAAUAGGACAUCAUAGAGGGUGAGAAUCCCGUAUUUGGUCAUUCCUCCUAGCGUUGUGAUACACUUUCAACGAGUCGGAUUGUUUGGGAAUGCAGUCCAAAAUGGGUGGUAAAUUUCAUCUAAAGCUAAAUAUUGGCGAGAGACCGAUAGCGAACAAGUACCGUGAGGGAAAGAUGAAAAGAACUUUGAAAAGAGAGUUAAACAGUACGUGAAAUUGUCAAAAGGGAAGCGUUUGACACCAGUGUUGUUUUCUCGAAAAUCAAUUAAAAAAGGCCGGAUUUUGUGUUGUAUUGACCUUAAAAGCUUUCUUCACUCUUUUCUUGUCUUUUUUAAUGCACUUUUCGUUUAACAAGUCAACAUCAGUUUCUUUUGUUGUAAAAGGGUCAUUGGAAGGUGGCCUUCUUUUCGGAGAAAGUGCUUAUAGCCUUUGAUCUCUGCAACCGGAGAGACUGAGGUCUGCAGCGUAGACUCUUCGGGGUUAGAUACAUUUGUGCUAAGCUAUAGCCUUGUAUAGACAACUUGUUGACUAUGCUCAGUCAUGUAGCUUACUCGCUUAUGCUAUUUUACCUACGCUUAGGAUGUUGAAGAUGUAGCACAUCAU